GUUGAAGAGACUGUCUUUUUCCCAUUGGAUAUUCUUUCCUGCUUUGUUAAAGAUUAAUUGACUAUACACUUGUGGGUUCAUUUGUGGGUUUUCAGUUCUGUUCCACUG